CUACAAUGGCCGGUACAAAGAGAAGCGAGGCUGUGAAGCGGAGCAAAUCUCAAAAACCGGUCCCAGUUCGGAUUGUAGGCUGCAACUCGCCUACAUGAAGUCGGAGUUGCUAGUAAUCGCGGAUCAGAAUGCCGCGGUGAAUGCGUUCCCGGGUCUUGUACACACCGCCCGUCACACCAUGGAAGUUGGGGGCGCCCGAAGUUGCCUAAGAAAUAAGGUACCUAAGGCGAAACCAAUGACUGGGGUGAAGUCGUAACAAGGUAUC
rnacentral:rRNA from 1 species